rnacentral:tRNA from 2 species
GGAGGGGUGGGAGAGUGGUUAAAUCCACCAGACUGUAAAUCUGGCGCCUCAGGCUACGCUGGUUCGAAUCCAGCCCCCUCCACCA